rnacentral:rRNA from 1 species
GAUGAACGCUGGCGGCAUGCUUUACACAUGCAAGUCGGACGGGAAGUGGUGUUUCCAGUGGCGGUCGGGUGAGUAACGCGUAAGAACCUGCCCUGGGGAGGGGAACAACAGCUGGAAACGGCUGCUAAUACCCCGUAGGCUGAGGAGCGAAAGGAGGAAUCCGCCCCAGGAGGGGCUCGCGUCUGAUUAGCUAGUUGGUGAGGUAAUAGCUUACCAAGGCCGUGAUCAGUAGCUGGUCCGAGAGGAUGAUCAGCCACACUGGGACUGAGACAAGGACCAGACUCCUUCGGGAGGCAGCAGUGGGGAAUUUGCCGCAAUGGGCGAUAGCCUGACGGAGCAAUGCCGCGUGGAGGUAAAAGGCCUACGGGUCAUGAACUUCGUUACCUGGAGAAGAAACAAUGACGGUACCUGGUGAAUAAGCAUCGGCUAACUCUGUG